rnacentral:rRNA from 1 species
GACGAACGCUGGCGGCGUGCUUAACACAUGCAAGUCGAACGGAAAGGCCCCUUUGGGGGUACUCGAGUGGCGAACGGGUGAGUAACACGUGAGUAACCUGCCCUUGACUUCGGGAUAACUUCAGGAAACUGGGGCUAAUACCGGAUAGGAAUCCUUGCUGCAUGGUGGGGGUUGGAAAGCUUCGGCGGUUUUGGAUGGACUCGCGGCUUAUCAGCUUGUUGGUGGGGUAGUGGCUUACCAAGGCUUUGACGGGUAGCCGGCCUGAGAGGGCGACCGGCCACACUGGGACUGAGGUAAGGCCCAGACUCCUACGGGAGGCAGCAGUGGGGAAUAUUGCACAAUGGGCGCAGGCCUGAUGAAGAAACGCCGCGUGCGGGAUAACGGCCUUCGGGUUGUAAACCGCUUUCAGCAGGGGCGAAGCUUGUGGUGACGGUACCUGCAGAAGAAGCACCGGCUAACUACGUG